GAAAUGCGAUAAGUAGUGUGAAUUGCAGAAUUCAGUGAAUCAUCGAAUCUUUGAACGCACAUUGCGCCCCUCGGCAUUCCGUGGGGCAUGCCUGUUCGAGCGUCAUCUACACCCUCAAGCUCUGCUUGGUGUUGGGCGUCUGUCCCGCCUCCGCGCGCGGACUCGCCCCAAAUGCAUUGGCAGCGGUUCCUUGCCCCCCUCUUUGCGCAGCACAUUGCCAUUCGAGGCGGCGGCGGCCCGCGUCCAACAAGCUCAACCCCCCCGUCUUUGACCUCGGAUCAGGUAGGGAUACCCGCUGAACUAAAGC
rnacentral:misc_RNA from 1 species